rnacentral:rRNA from 1 species
AGUGAACGCUGGCGGUAGGCCUAACACAUGCAAGUCGAACGGCAGCACAGUAAGAGCUUGCUCUUACGGGUGGCGAGUGGCGGACGGGUGAGGAAUACAUCGGAAUCUACUUUUUCGUGGGGGGUAACGUAGGGAAACUUACGCUAAUACCGCAUACGACCUACGGGUGAAAGCAGGGGAUCUUCGGACCUUGCGCGAUUGAAUGAGCCGAUGUCGGAUUAGCUAGUUGGCGGGGUAAAGGCCCACCAAGGCGACGAUCCGUAGCUGGUCUGAGAGGAUGAUCGGCCACACUGGAACUGAGACACGGUCCAGACUCCUACGGGAGGCAGCAGUGGGGAAUAUUGGACAAUGGGCGCAAGCCUGAUCCAGCCAUACCGCGUGGGUGAAGAAGGCCUUCGGGUUGUAAAGCCCUUUUGUUGGGAAAGAAAAGCAGCAGGUUAAUACCCCGCUGUUCUGACGGUACCCAAAGAAUAAGCACCGGCUAACUUCGUG